GCGAAAACUUUACAAUGCUGGCAACAGCAAUAAGGGAACCUCGAGUGCCAGGUUACAAAUCUGGCUGUCGAGAUGCCUAAAUAGCAUUACAUAGCAAGGGCCGGGCAAGACCGGUGCCAGCCGCCGCGGUAACACCGGCGGCUCGAGUGGUAACCGUUAUUAUUGGGUCUAAAGGGUCUGUAGCCGGCCGGAUAAGUCUCUUGGGAAAUCCAGCAGCCUAACUGUUGGGCUUUCAGGAGAUACUAUUCGGCUCGAGGCCGGGAGAGGUGAGAGGUACUUCAGGGGUAGGGGUGAAAUCUUGUAAUCCUUGAAGGACCACCAGUGGCGAAGGCGUCUCACCAGAACGGACCUGACGGCAAGGGACGAAAGCUAGGGGCACGAACC
rnacentral:rRNA from 1 species